AACGAACGCUGGCGGCAUGCCUCAUACAUGCAAGUCGAACGAAUACGGCCUAGCUUGCUAGGUGUCGGUUAGUGGCAAACGGGUGCGUAACACGUGGGAAUCUACCUAUUGGUUCGGAAUAGCCCUGGGAAACUGGGAUUAAUACCGAAUAAGGACUACGGUCGAAAGAUUUAUCGCCGAUAGAUGAGCCCGCGUCUGAUUAGCUUGUUGGUAAGGUAAUGGCUUACCAAGGCGACGAUCAGUAGCUGGUCUGAGAGGAUGAUCAGCCACACUGGGACUGAGAUACGGCCCAG
rnacentral:rRNA from 1 species